rnacentral:rRNA from 1 species
GAUGAACGCUGGCGGUAUGCUUAACACAUGCAAGUCGAACGAAAGUUUUUAACUUUAGUGGCGAACGGGUGCGUAAUACGUGGGAAUCUACCCUUAGGAGAAGAAUAACUGCUGGAAACGGCUGCUAAGUCUUCAUAUGCUGAGAAGUGAAAUAAUUUCGAUUGCCUAAGGAUGAGCUCACGCCUGAUUAGCUAGUUGGUAAGGUAAUGGCUUACCAAGGCCACGAUCAGUAGCUGGUUUGAGAGAACGAUCAGCCACACUGGGACUGAGACACGGCCCAGACUCCUCCGGGAGGCAGCAGUGAGGAAUUUUCCGCAAUGGGCGAAAGCCUGACGGAGCAAUACCGCGUGAGGGAUUAAGGAUUUUGGUCUGUAAACCUCUUUUCUCAAGAAAGAAGUUCUGACGGUACUUGAGGAAUAAGCAUCGGCUAACUCCGUGCCAGCAGCCGCGGUAAUACGGGGGAUGCAAGCGUUAUCCGGAAUUAUUGGGCGUAAAGCGCCUGUAGGUGGUUUAAUAAGUCUGUUGUUAAAAGACUAGGGCUUAACCCUAGAAAAGCAAUGGAAACUACUAGACUAGAGUAUGGCAGGGGUAGAGGGAAUUUCUAGUGUAUCGGUGAAAUGCGUAGAUAUUAGAAAGAACACCGGUGGCGAAAGCGCUCUACUGGACCAUUACUGACACUCAGAGGCGAAAGCUAGGGUAGCAAAAGGGAUUAGAUACCCCUGUAGUCCUAGCCGUAAACGAUGGAUACUAGAUGUUGUAUUGUUUUUUUACAGUAUCGUAGCUAACGCGUUAAGUAUCCCGCCUGGGGAGUACGCUCGCAAGGGUGAAACUCAAAGGAAUUGACGGGGGCCCGCACAAGCGGUGGAGCAUGUGGUUUAAUUCGAUGCAACGCGAAGGACCUUACCAGGGCUUGACAUACUGCGAAUCUUUUUUAAAGAAGAGAGUGCCUUCGGGAAUGCAGAUACAGGUGGUGCAUGGCUGUCGUCAGCUCGUGUCGUGAGAUGUUGGGUUAAGUCCCGCAACGAGCGCAACCCUUGUUUUUAGUUAUCAACUUGUUGAGUUUUCUAGAAAGACUGCCGGUGACAAACCGGAGGAAGGUGAGGAUGACGUCAAGUCAGCAUGCCCCUUAUGUCCUGGGCUACACACGUGCUACAAUGGAUAGGACAAAGAGUCGCAAGUUUGCGAAAACAAGCUAAUCUCAUAAACCUACCCUAAGUUCAGAUUGUAGGCUGCAACUCGCCUACAUGAAGUUGGAAUCGCUAGUAAUCGCUGGUCAGCCAUACAGCGGUGAAUCCGUUCCCGGGCCUU